ACUACCUUACCGACAGUAUUUUAAAUAGAAAAAAAUGCUUUGCGCGCAGUGCUUUUCACGCUGGGAUGACGGUUUUUGAAAGCUUGUUUCCGUUUUUUUGCUGUGUUGUGCUUCAUUCGAGAUUCUAAACUGCGUGUUGAUUUGAUGUUCAGAGAUGUUUCACCUAGAUGCCCUUCGCCAACCGUCUCGCACGUCCUGAAAUAUGUUUACACGUAAAAUUUUUGUCGAUAGAGUCUUCCUUCAGUUAGUUGCAUGAAAAAAGAAUACACUAGCCAGGUUAAAACAAAGUACAUAUUUAUUAAUCAAUACACUUCAAACCUUUACAAGAUAUUGAUAAUCUUCACAAUAUUCAUCGACGAACGGGCUAGGGCACGGAGCACCGAUUGCGCACCCGGUCCCGGAGUCUUGGUGCAAGUUCCGCCGGCGGCACGCAACUUCAUAGGAGGAUGGCGUCGCUAUUUUUAGACCACGUUUUCCACUUUUUCUCAUCGAAACCGACUACUUUAUUGACUUCAUUUUGCUGGGCGAGAUAGGAAGCCGUCUAUUUUUAGACGAUGACUCAGCACUUUUCCACUCUUGCACUUAAAAAAACCAGAUGGCAGCACGAUGUAACGCCACGUCCCUAUGUGCAGCGAGGUGAUUCCGAGGGACUUGCACUUUCCGCCUACGUACAAAGCGGCCACAUAGCAGCGUAGGGCGAGCCUCGUCACGAUCAGCCUUGACCUUCAUGCCGCCGGUGCUCCGCCAGAUAGUUACUUGCCCAAAAGAUCCGUAACGUGGACGAAGGUAUCGUUGAAACUGGCGUAUACGUAUGCCACUCCGAACACGAUCUCGUCCGAGCAAAACCUGGACCUCCUCCAAACGAUUUUUCCUGCAUCAACAAAAAUACCACCAAAUACUGCCAAACUUUCUUUGCUCUCACUAAUGUUGAGUUAGUGUUUUGAAACAUUUGAAGAAAUGUCAAAGUAUGAUGUAACUUUAUAAGCUUACUUUACAUUGAUUUAUAAAGCUUACAAUUAAUGCUUUGAAACAUUAUUGAGCUAAAUGCUUUGAAACUUUAAUUGGCUGUUCUAUAUGUCAUUAUACAGUAGAUAAUAAUGUUUCAAGCUACAAAUGUUUCGAAACAUUAGGAAAGACUAUUUAAAGUGUCAUAGCAUCGUGAAAGUUUAUUUAGAGUGGAUUUAGAGUUUUGAUUUAGUGCUUCUGGUUACUUGGGUGAGGAAAGGCUAUAAAAUCACUCGAAAAACGAGCAAAUGUCUGUGUGUGUGGUGGGAUGUUGAUCAAAAAAAAUUUGCACUGUAUUAUCUCGGCAGUGGCUGAACCGAUUUGGACCGUUUUGGUCUCAUUUGAUCCGUCUUGGGGUCCCAUUAGUCGCUAUUGAAAAUUAUAAAGUUUAGUUAAGUACUUCGAAAGUUAUGCUAAAAUAACGAUUUUAACAAAAGUCCGGAAGAUUGUAAAAAGGGUGGUUUUUGUAUGAAACCCCGUCAUGUUAUACAUUGUUAGAAAGGUUUUCAAAAGACCUUUUCAACGAGUUCAAAAGAUUGAAGAUCUGAAAACCCUAUCAAAAGUUAUAAGCACAUAAGUGCCUUGAAUUACCCAAUCAGAUGGUAUGAAUAAUAAAUCAAAUUGAUAGAACACUGAAAGAUCCACCCUUUUGUAUCUAUUUUGGAUAGCAUAAUCCUCUAAAUGUGAGAAAGGCAUCAACCACCUGAGGGUGGGUUAAGUAACGUUUUUUUAUAAGACUUGGCAACAAAGUUCAUAAGAUUUUCCUAUGGAUUUUAUAGCUUGGACAUUCGCUAUUUACAAAUGUCAGCAGUGCGAAAAUAGCUUAAGACAAUUUUAUUUCACCCAAACUUUAAAAUGGCGUCGGAAGAGCAAACUUGUGGGAACUUUGGGCUGACUUCUACCAUAGACUAAUUAAAGACUAAACACUCCGAACAAAUUUUUCAAAAAAGUAUGACUUAUGAGCUGUGAACCGUGUGAACCGCGAUGUACCGCAUCGGCUUGCCCCCCGUCUAGAAGAUUUGCUUGGCAGCACUGCGUUUUUUUCAAUUCUCCUUUGUGCUUGUUUGCGAGCGCAAAUUUUGUUUUUGUUUUUAUUCCGCACCUCAGUUGGCCGGUGUAUUUUGUCAUAAAUAUUAGAAAAUGCUGGAAAUUGUAAGUUUUAAUUAAUUUGCUGUAAGUAUUUUGCAGUAACCAGUCUUCAGUUGGGUCCCUUAUUUCUAGAGCCGUCGUUCGCUUUCAUGACACUGCUGUGUCCCUGGGAAAACUAAGUCGGCGGAUUAGCAUCGAUUGCAGCAUUAUUGAGCAAGUUAGCGGAGAAGGUGAAAACAGAAUCUGAUGUUCCAAUCCGGCACCGUAUAUAUCGAAUCAAUCAAAGAAGAGUACCUACGUGCAGGUACGUCACAUCAGCCGACAGCUGCAAGAAUCGUUAGGCACCCAAACCGAAGCAUCUCGUGUUGAAGGUGAAGGAACGGAUGUACCCCAGAUGGACAGCAUCGACAGAUUGGAGACGCAGUUGCAGAAGCGGAGUCAGUCCAGAUUCAAUCGGGCAAGGUCAACUGGGUUAAAGAACACCUCGAACAGCCGGUGGCGUGUUCGUGUUUAAACAGAAAGAGCUUCAGGGGGAUGAUUAACCGUUGACACAUCAAGAAGCUGCUCCGCAAGAUGCUCAAGGUUCUGCGAAAGGUCGAUUUGUAUCAGUCCUAGGCAUCCGUUCCGUGUGGCGUUGAACGUGGCCCGUGCAGUUCAGAAGGAGUACAACCAUCGUACAAAGAUCAACAAUCAACUAGAAUCCACACUAAGGAGAAGCGUGAUGUGUAUGACGUAAAAAUACAUAAAAUAUGUAUAUGGAUUUUGGUCGUGUUCGUAGAGGAUUUUGUUUAAGCACCGGAUAGAAAUUCCUUAGUCAAAGUAGAUUUCACUUAGUGUCCAUACCACAAACCUGAAGAUCUUUAGUUGACCACCUAUCUAAGAAACGGGCGACGCCUUGCAGGUGGGUUUGCUUCUUGGGACUGCUGAGUCGUACCCCGGCACAGAUCGGUUUGAUUACGUUCGAUUAAACCGCACUCCCGCCUUCCCCCGGGGUUCCAUGUGCCAGUUGCGGACCCCAAAAAGAACUGAAAAGUUGCUGUGCACACUAAAUUUUGUCACUUUCUUAAAUACAUGUCCUGGCGGAAGUUGCAGCUGUGCCGGAAUUAACUGAACGCAUCAGAGCUGCUGUCUGGAUUGCCCAUGGUCGCCUGGUUGGACAAAGAGACGAGCUUUUUGACGGCAAUGCUGGCACGUGAGCAAAAAGAAGACCUUCACCAAGACCUCCAAGAAGUGGAUCAACGAUCUGGGCUAGAAUAAAUCAAGGAAAACUUCAUGAUCUACUGCAUCGGAGCUGAAAUCUACUCCAAAGAUG